rnacentral:lncRNA from 1 species
GCUACCCUGUGUCUGCCCUCGCUCCAGGUGCUUCGAAGUACUAUGGAAAACAAGGUGUUACCUACAAGUGCUUAUUAGGCGAAUGCGACCAACGACAAGCUUGUAAUCCUGUGGAUCUCUUGGUCGACUGUUGGGCACCUAAAGCUAAUCAAAUAAACGGGGAAACUUGAAAGAUUGUGUUUUAAAUAAAUUUGAUCUCGUUAUAUU